CCACGCCCUAAACGAUGUCAACUAGCUGUUGGGGGCUUCGGCCUUUGGUAGCGCAGCUAACGCGUGAAGUUGACCGCCUGGGGAGUACGGCCGCAAGGUUAAAACUCAAAGGAAUUGACGGGGACCCGCACAAGCGGUGGAUGAUGUGGAUUAAUUCGAUGCAACGCGAAAAACCUUACCUACCCUUGACAUGUCUGGAAUCCCGAAGAGAUUUGGGAGUGCUCGCAAGAGAACUGGAACACAGGUGCUGCAUGGCUGUCGUCAGCUCGUGUCGUGAGAUGUUGGGUUAAGUCCCGCAACGAGCGCAACCCUUAUCAUUAGUUGCUACAUUUGGUUGGGCACUCUAAUGAGACUGCCGGUGACAAGCCGGAGGAAGGUGGGGAUGACGUCAAGUCCUCAUGGCCCUUAUGGGUAGGGCUUCACACGUCAUACAAUGGUCGGGACAGAGGGUAGCGAAGCCGCGAGGUGGUGCCAAUCCCAGAAACCCGAUCGUAGUCCGGAUCGCAGUCUGCAACUCGACUGCGUGAAGUCGGAAUCGCUAGUAAUCGCGGAUCAGCAUGUCGCGGUGAAUACGUUCCCGGGUCUUGUACACACCGCCCGUCACACCAUGGGAGUGGGUUUUACCAGAAGUGGGUAGUCUAACCNCANGGGGGACGCUUACCACGGUAGGAUUCAUGA
rnacentral:rRNA from 1 species